rnacentral:rRNA from 1 species
ACAGAGGUGGCAAGCGUUGUUCGGAAUUACUGGGCGUAAAGGGCGCGUAGGCGGCCUUCUAAGUCGGACGUGAAAGCCCCAGGCUUAACCUGGGAACUGCGUCCGAUACUGGGAGGCUUGGAUUCGGGAGAGGGAUGUGGAAUUCCAGGUGUAGCGGUGAAAUGCGUAGAUAUCUGGAGGAACACCGGUGGCGAAGGCGGCAUCCUGGACCGAGAUCGACGCUGAGGCGCGAAAGCUAGGGGAGCAAACGGGA